AUUGAACGCUGGCGGCAUGCCUUACACAUGCAAGUCGAACGGUAACAGGUCUUCGGAUGCUGACGAGUGGCGAACGGGUGAGUAAUACAUCGGAACGUGCCCGAUCGUGGGGGAUAACGAGGCGAAAGCUUUGCUAAUACCGCAUACGAUCUACGGAUGAAAGCGGGGGAUCUUCGGACCUAGCGCGGACGGAGCGGCCGAUGGCAGAUUAGGUAGUUGGUGGGAUAAGAGCUUACCAAGCCGACGAUCUGUAGCUGGUCUGAGAGGAUGAUCAGCCACACUGGGACUGAGACACGGCCCAGACUCCUACGGGAGGCAGCAGUGGGGAAUUUUGGACAAUGGGCGAAAGCCUGAUCCAGCCAUGCCGCGUGCAGGAUGAAGGCCUUCGGGUUGUAAACUGCUUUUGUACGGAACGAAAAGCCUCUUUCUAAUAAAGAGGGGUCAUGACGGUACCGUAAGAAUAAGCACCGGCUAACUACGUGCCAGCCGCCGCGGUAA
rnacentral:rRNA from 1 species